UAAAAGGAUAUAUUCCAAAAUUGCAGGGGGUAUGGUGUAGAUAACACGAAGUUAUGUGGUGUUACUAAGUGGUUCCAAUCUCCAGUCGAGGGGAAACUAUGUAGCCACCUUAUAGACAGGAAAGAAACAAAUAUAGUGUAACACUGUUUAUUAAAAAAAUCUGUGGAUCUCUUACACAGAAUAGUAUUGGUGCUUAUUUCUAAGGACCACAAACCGACAUAAAGUGCAGUACAAAUUGAGGGUAAUGGCAGAGUUACCACUCUGCUGCUGUGAUGCUGCGAGUUGCUUCCGUGCACUGAAGCCGACCCGGACCUCAUACACCUCGGGAGUACAGUUUCGUUGUACUGGCUUCCUAGCUUUCUAUGCUUAUGCUUUUUUCCCAAUAUAUCUUAGAAAGGGAAGAUUGCCUAAGCGCUGA